UGGUGGAGCGAUUUGUCUGCUUAAUUGCGAUAACGAACGAGACCUUAACCUGCUAAAUAGUCAGUGAACCUUUGCGUUCGUGGACAACUUCUUAGACGGCCGUUUGCGUGUUUUAACCAAAGGAAGUUUGAGGCAAUAACA
rnacentral:rRNA from 1 species